rnacentral:tRNA from 1 species
GGGCCUAUAGCUCAGUCGGUAGAGCAGCGGACUUUUAAUCCGUAGGUCGAGGGUUCGAGCCCCUCUGGGCCCACCA